UUUUUUUUUUUUUUUUUUUCCCUUUAAUGAGCAGUAAUCUUUUGAUGUUUGAUUACCUAGGUUUUUUGUUUUUGUUUCACAAAACUCCUAAAUAUCCUGGUCCUUCCCUUACUUCUUCAGAACUGUUCUCAGAGCUCUUUGAGAGGCUGUCACCCUGGGCUAUAGUCCUCAGUAAAGUCACUGAGUGACACAUAAUUCUCAGGUUUUAGGUUGUGCUUUUUUUUUUUUAAUUUUUUUUCCAGUGGACAACUAUGAGGAACUGAAUCCAAAGAUUCUGAUUGUUUGUUAUUAGAAGAAUGGAACUUCCUCCACCAUUUACUUAUAGCCAUUCUACUCUACAAUUUUUAUGGUAAUGACCAGAUUUGUAUCUCCAGCUUAGAAGUCCCUUCCCUCCAAAUUUCUUUUCCAUCUCAGUGUGUGUCAUCUCCACUGGAAUAUCUCAGGGACAUUUAAAACAUGGUGUGUCCAGGAGUUCCCGUCAUGGCGCAGUGGAUAACGAAUCUGACUAGGAACCAUGAGGUUGCGGGUUCGAUCCCUGCCCUUGCUCAGUGGGUUAAGGAUCCAGCGUUGCCGUGAGCUGUGGUGUAGGUUGCAGACGUGUCUCGGAUCCCGCGUUGCUGUGGCUCUGGUGUAGGCUGGAGACUGCGGCUCCUAUUCGACCCGUAGCCUGGGAACCUCCUUAUGCCAUGGGAAGUGGCCCUAGAAAAGGCAAAAAGACAAAAACAACAAUAACAACAAAGACAAAAAACAUGGUGUGUCCAAAAGAGAACUCUUAAUUCUAUUCUCACCCCUCCCUGUCACUGUAAAUGGCACUAACUAGUACCUUAGGUAAGAAGCGUGUGAACAAUGACCUUGAUGUGGUCUUAACUCUGCCUUUUCUCUCCCCACUCUUAUCCAGCCCUUAACAAGCCUUGCUGAGCCUUCAUCCAAAAUAAAGCAAAUUCUUCUCUCCAUCUCCUUAAUGUACUUCAUUGGUAACGAUCCCUACUACUUCUUGACAUUAGUACUGAAACAACGUUUCCUUUGUCCUCUGUACUGCUUCUCUUAUUCCUUCCAAUCAAAGGAGUUUCUUAAAAUACAUAUUGGAUCAUCCUAUUCCAUAUAUACAUAAAACCAUUCAGUGGCUUUCCACUUUAUUAGAAUAAAAUUCCAAAUCCUUUUUAUGGCUUAUCAAGUAUUGCUUCCCUCUCUAAUAGCUCUUAAAUACCCCCAGCCUCAGCAAUCUUUUAGCAUCUGCAACACAAAUUCUUUAUGGGCUCAGAACUUUGCACCUCUUGUUCUUUCUUCCUGAUACGUGGUUUUCCCUUAGUCUUUUCAAUAUUCUGACCUCUGUUCAAAUAUUAUUUCCUUGGAGAGACUUUUCCUGACCAUAUUAUUUGAAGAGCUGCCUCCUCUAAUCCCAGUGCUUUGCUUUUUUCAUAAUCUACAUUAUCACAACCACUGUUUAAUUUAAAAAUAAUUUUUACCUCUUGCUAACACUUCCUCAUGAAAUUUUGUUCCACCAGGUAAAUUAUGUUUUAAAAAAUUAAAAAAAAAUGUGGAAAUGAAUCCAGCUGGGAACCAUGGGGUUGUGGGUUCAAUCCCUGGCCUCCCUUGCUGUGGGCUGUGGUGUGGGUCGCAGAUGCGGCUUGGAUCUGGUGUUGCUAUGGCUGUGGUGCAGGCGGGUGGCUACAGGUCUGAUUCCACCCCUGGCCUGGGAACCUCCAUAUGCUGCAGGUGUGGCCCUAAAAAGACAAAAGACAAAAAUAAAUAAAUAAAUAAAUAAAUAAAUAAAUAAAAUAACAACCAUAACAACACAUACUGGCUUUCUGUCUCUAAAAAUGAAACAAAACAAAACAAAAUCUCCUACAUAUACCUGUUACAUUAAAUUAAAGAUAUGUUAGAGAGAAUGGAUCCUUCUGGUGAAAAGACUAAUAAUGGCUUGAGUCCCAAAGGCAAUCGUCCGCUUGUUUUUUGAUAACUUAGUCCAAAAACUUUGGGAUCUUUAUGCCACUACUUCCUAUUACUUCAAAAAUAAAUUGCAGGUCACAGUAAAGGUACUACUUUCCUAAAUAUACCAAAAAAUUACGACAGAUAGAGUUUCUAAUACAAGUGCCCGCUAUCUUUUACAAAGCCGGUUCAGGAAGGCAGCCACAAAAGCUCGUCUUUCUUUCCUCCAGCAGCAUCCGCAGAGCACCUAUAGGCGAGCAGUAGCAUUGCGGUUAAAGGUUCAGGAUUUGGGGAUUAAGGGUUCAAGAUUCUCCUCAGCUUUGUAUAAUCAUGUGUCUCAGAACAAAUUAGUUUCUUUAUCCUUAAAAUAAGGUUAAUAUAAUAUCAAUCUCAUAGGGUUGUGGUGAGGAAUAAGAAGACAAAAUGAGUAAAAAGUCCACCACUAAAAUCUAAAAAAAAUGUUAGCUUUUCCACAGAAUAAUGUAUCCUGAGGAGCAUACAUUUAAGAUAGCAUGCAUUAGAGUUUGUGUUGAGGUACAGCCGCAAUGAACCCGGCUAGUAUCCAUGAGGAUAUGGGUUUGAUCCUUGGCCUCGCUCAGUGGGUCAAGGAUAUGACAUUGCCUUGAGAUGUGGUAUAGGUGGCAGAAUGAGGUUCAGAUCCUGCAUUGCUGUGGCUGUGGUAUAUAGGCCAGCCCUGGCCUGGGAACUUUCAGAAGCUACAGGUGUGGCCUUAAAAACCAAAAAAAAAAAAGAGAUAGCCUGCAUCUGAGAAUAUAAGUUGUUUUAGGAGAAGAUGAAAGUGUACCUGGUGGAGUGGAUGGAGUUAAAUAACCUUGGUUAUUCUAAGGAUAAACUGUGCCCCUUCUCCACUCUUAGAAAUAGCUUUAUAGAGAUAUAAUUUGCACAGCAUAAAAUUCACCCAUUUAAGUGAUGAUUGAAUGACUUCAAGGAAAUUUACAAAGCAACCAUUGCCAAAUUCUAAUAUGAAACAUAUUUAUUGUCCCCCAAAUAACCCUCAUGCCUAUUUAUGAGCAUUCCUCCUCACACCCCCAGACCCAGGCAAUUUCUGGCUUACUUUCUAUCUAGAUUUGCCUUUUCCACAUAUUUCAUAUAAAUGGAAUUGUACAACAUGUGGUCUUCAAUGUCUGGCUUCGUCAUGUCAUAUAAGGUGAAUGUCAGCCCUGUGAUGGCAUGUAUCAAUUUUUAAUUCAUUUUCAUUGCUAAAUAACAUUCCAUUCUAUAAAUACACAAUAUUGUUCUAUUUGGAAGUUGACUGACAUUUGAGUUGUUUCCAGUUUUUGACUACUACCUUAAUGGUAUCAUAAACACUUUUGCUUGCAAGUGUUUUUCUAGACAUUUUCAUUUCUUUUGGGUACAGUCUUAGAAUCUCCCUUCUCCAUUUUAAGUGAAGGCUCUGCCCCUGACAGACUUCAAUGCCAUUUGUUCAGGAGAGGAACAGAGCUCUGAUUCUCCUUCACAUGUAACUACUGAGUCAGUUCAUACAAUGAAGUGGAGAGAGAACGUCAGUUCUUGUCUCUGCCCCCCUUCUCUCUAACUUUGCUUGCGAGCUUCGGAGAGAGUAUGUACCUCUCAACCUCUAGAUUUCUCCCUUUGUGAAACAAAGGCAGGAACUAGAUGUUCUCUGAAUUAUCUUCUAUCUUUAAAAGCUUACAAUACUUUCUGUUACUAAAGAAUUUAAAAACAAACCAAAACACAAUGAAUCAUCUCUGUUGCCACUAGCGUUUUUCUGGGCUGGCAUUUUGUGGGAAAUCUGCACCAGUUACAAAAGAAUGAUACAGAAAGUGAAUGAUACAAAAAGUAUUUGUCUGCUGUCUGGGGCACAUCCAGGAUUUACAAGUCUGCAUGCUACACAUGUCUCUGCUUUUGAGGUUCUUCUUGCAUAUCACUAUAUUUCUCUGACCAUAUUUUCUAAGACAGUCAUUUCAUUCAAAGUUAACUGGGCAGAAAACAAACAUCACUACCACACAAUAGGGUGGUUUAUUUUAUCAAACACCUUAAAAAUAUAAAUCCAAGUAAUGACCAUUACUCUCAGUCAUCUCAGUGAGUAGACUUUUUUUUUUCUUUCAUUUUUUUCUGACAUUUCUCAGAGCAUACUGGGAUAUUUCACUUUGGAAUUGCUCUCCAAGGGGGUGGCAGAGACAACUUUUAAAACCCAUUUUUAAAACUUAUUAAAAUUCAACAUAUAGCAAAUAUAUAAAGACUAUUAAAGUGAACAUGCAUGUACCAAUCACAAAGCUUUAAAAAGUUGACUACCAAUGCUAUGGAGAUUAUUUGCACCUCUCCUUAAUCAUGUCCACCUCUGUUGACUCCUCUGUCCUUAACCUCAGUGUUUUCCUGCAUUUAAUCAAUAUAUAUUUAUAUUUAUGCUUUCCUACACACAUAUGUUGUUCUAAGUAAUAGUUGGUGCUGUUUUUUUUCAGGUUUAAAUAUUUCCAUAGACAGUAUCACACUAUACGUAUUCUUUAGUAACUUUCUAUUUUCACUCAAUAUUUUGUUAGAUUUAUCCAUAGUGAUAUGUGGAUUCUUCAUCAAUAUUCACAGAGUAGAUCAUCAUAUUGUUUUAAACAAGCCUCUACUAGGUUCAUCCGUAUUCUUUUUUUUAAGAUUCCACAUAUAAGUGAUAUCAUAUGAUGUUUGCUUUUAUUGUCCGACUGAUUUCAUUUACUGUGAUAGUUUCUAGUUCUACCCAUGGUUGCUGCAAAUGACAUUAUUUCAUUCUCUUUUGUGGCUGAGUAAUAUUCCAUUGUGUCUAUGUACCACAGACUAGCAGACUUUGAACUCAAACUUAUGGUUGCCAAAGGGGACAGUUGGGGAGGGGCACAGAC
rnacentral:lncRNA from 1 species